rnacentral:rRNA from 1 species
UACAGAGGUCUCAAGCGUUGUUCGGAUUCAUUGGGCGUAAAGGGUGCGUAGGCGGCGCGGUAAGUCGGGUGUGAAAUCUCGGAGCUUAACUCCGAAACUGCAUUCGAUACUGCCGUGCUUGAGGACUGGAGAGGAGACUGGAAUUUACGGUGUAGCGGUGAAAUGCGUAGAUAUCGUAAGGAACACCAGUGGCGAAGGCGACUUCCUGGCCUGUUCUUGACGCUGAGGCGCGAAAGCUAGGGGAGCAAACGGG